rnacentral:rRNA from 1 species
AUUGAACGCUGGCGGCAGGCUUAACACAUGCAAGUCGAGCGGGGUGAUGGUGCUUGCACUAUCACUUAGCGGCGGACGGGUGAGUAAUGCUUAGGAAUCUGCCUAUUAGUGGGGGACAACAUCGCGAAAGGGAUGCUAAUACCGCAUACGUCCUACGAGAGAAAGCAGGGGAUCACUUGUGACCUUGCGCUAAUAGAUGAGCCUAAGUCGGAUUAGCUAGUAGGUGGGGUAAAGGCCUACCAAGGCGACGAUCUGUAGCGGGUCUGAGAGGAUGAUCCGCCACACUGGGACUGAGACACGGCCCAGACUCCUACGGGAGGCAGCAGUGGGGAAUAUUGGACAAUGGGGGGAACCCUGAUCCAGCCAUGCCGCGUGUGUGAAGAAGGCCUUAUGGUUGUAAAGCACUUUAAGCGAGGAGGAGGCUCUUUUGGUUAAUACCCAAGAUGAGUGGACGUUACUCGCAGAAUAAGCACCGGCUAACUCUGUGCCAGCCGCCGCAGUAA